rnacentral:rRNA from 1 species
UACAGAGGUCCCAAGCGUUGUUCGGAUUCAUUGGGCGUAAAGGGUGCGUAGGCGGCGCGGUAAGUCGGGUGUGAAAUCUCGGAGCUUAACUCCGAAACUGCAUUCGAUACUGCCGUGCUUGAGGACUGGAGAGGAGACUGGAAUUUACGGUGUAGCGGUGAAAUGCGUAGAGAUUGGGAAGAACAUCGGUGGCGAAAGCGCUCUACUGGACCUCAUCUGACACUCAGGGACGAAAGCUAGGGGAGCGAAUGGG